rnacentral:snRNA from 1 species
AUUCCUUUCUUGACCUUUUGGCUAUGAUAAUGUGUAAUUUUGUUCUUAUCAGUUUAAUAUCUCAUAUGUGGAUCAUAUGUUCACUUUGAUAUUAUAUUUAUUUUUUAUAAGUACCAAAUAUGAUUGUGUAUCGUCACAAUGCACUAUCAUAAUGCCGGUCAAUCCAAU